AGUGAACGCUGGCGGUAGGCCUAACACAUGCAAGUCGAACGGCAGCACAGUAAGAGCUUGCUCUUACGGGUGGCGAGUGGCGGACGGGUGAGGAAUACAUCGGAAUCUACUUUUUCGUGGGGGAUAACGUAGGGAAACUUACGCUAAUACCGCAUACGACCUACGGGUGAAAGCAGGGGAUCUUCGGACCUUGCGCGAUUGAAUGAGCCGAUGUCGGAUUAGCUAGUUGGCGGGGUAAGGCCCACCAAGGCGACGAUCCGUAGCUGGUCUGAGAGGAUGAUCAGCCACACUGGAACUGAGGCACGGUCCAGACUCCUACGGGAGGCAGCAGUGGGGAAUAUUGGACAAUGGGCGCAAGCCUGAUCCAGCCAUACCGCGUGGGUGAAGAAGGCCUUCGGGUUGUAAAGCCCUUUUGUUGGGAAAGAAAAGCAGCAGGUUAAUACCCCGCUGUUCUGACGGUACCCAAAGAAUAAGCACCGGCUAACUUCGUG
rnacentral:rRNA from 1 species